rnacentral:rRNA from 1 species
AGUGAACGCUGGCGGUAGGCCUAACACAUGCAAGCCGAACGGCAGCACAGUAAGAGCUUGCUCUUACGGGUGGCGAGUGGCGGACGGGUGAGGAAUACAUCGGAAUCUACUUUUUCGUGGGGGAUAACGUAGGGAAACUUACGCUAAUACCGCAUACGACCUACGGGUGAAAGCAGGGGAUCUUCGGACCUUGCGCGAUUGAAUGAGCCGAUGUCGGAUUAGCUAGUUGGCGGGGUAAAGGCCCACCAAGGCGACGAUCCGUAGCUGGUCUGAGAGGAUGAUCAGCCACACUGGAACUGAGACACGGUCCAGACUCCUACGGGAGGCAGCAGUGGGGAAUAUUGGACAAUGGGCGCAAGCCUGAUCCAGCCAUACCGCGUGGGUGAAGAAGGCCUUCGGGUUGUAAAGCCCUUUUGUUGGGAAAGAAAAGCAGCAGGUUAAUACCCCGCUGUUCUGACGGUACCCAAAGAAUAAGCACCGGCUAACCUCGUG